rnacentral:rRNA from 1 species
AGAGUUUGAUCCUGGCUCAGAAUCAACGCUGGCGGCGUGCCUAACACAUGCAAGUCGAGCGAGAAAAGGGGGGCAACUCCCUGAGUACAGCGGCGCACGGGUGAGUAACACGUGGGUAAUCUGCCCUGGAGUGUGGAAUAACACCGGGAAACCGGUGCUAAUACCGCAUACGAUCACGAUGUCUGCGGAUGUUGUGAUGAAAGGAGCAAUUCGCUCCAGGAGGAGCCCGCGGCUGAUUAGCUAGUUGGUGAGGUAACGGCUCACCAAGGCUACGAUCAGUAUCCGGUCUGAGAGGACGGCCGGACACACUGGAACUGAGACACGGUCCAGACUCCUACGGGAGGCAGCAGUGGGGAAUUUUUGGCAAUGGGGGAAACCCUGACCAAGCAACGCCGCGUGGGUGAUGAAGUCUCUUGGGACGUAAAACCCUUUCGACGGGGAAGAAACCGCAAGGUUGACGGUACCCGUAGAAGAAGCCCCGGCUAACUCCGUGCCAGCAGCCGCGGUAAUACGGGGGGGGCAAGCGUUGUUCGGAAUUACUGGGCGUAAAGGGUGCGUAGGCGGUUCUCUAAGUCGGAUGUGAAAACUCUGGGCUCAACCCAGAGCCUGCAUCCGAAACUGGAGGGCUAGAGUUCUGGAGGGGGUAGCGGAAUUCCUGGUGUAGCGGUGAAAUGCGUAGAUAUCAGGAGGAACACCGGUGGCGAAGGCGGCUACCUGGACAGAAACUGACGCUGAGGCACGAAAGCUAGGGGAGCAAACAGGAUUAGAUACCCUAGUAGUCC